rnacentral:rRNA from 1 species
UACGGAGGGAGCUAGCGUUGUUCGGAAUUACUGGGCGUAAAGCGCACGUAGGCGGCUUUGUAAGUUAGAGGUGAAAGCCCGGAGCUCAACUCCGGAAUUGCCUUUAAGACUGCAUCGCUUGAAUCCGGGAGAGGUGAGUGGAAUUCCGAGUGUAGAGGUGAAAUUCGUAGAUAUUCGGAAGAACACCAGUGGCGAAGGCGGCCUGCUGGGCUGUUGCUGACGCUGAGGCGCGACAGCGUGGGGAGCAAACAGG